rnacentral:sRNA from 1 species
GCACGUUGUAUGUCACCGGGGCCAGU